rnacentral:rRNA from 1 species
GACGAACGCUGGCCGCGUGCUUAACACAUGCAAGUCGAACGGAAAGGCCCUGCUUUUGUGGGGUGCUCGAGUGGCGAACGGGUGAGUAACACGUGAGUAACCUGCCCUUGACUUUGGGAUAACUUCAGGAAACUGGGGCUAAUACCGGAUAGGAGCUCCUGCUGCAUGGUGGGGUUGGAAAGUUUCGGCGGUUGGGGAUGGACUCGCGGCUUAUCAGCUUGUUGGUGGGGUAGUGGCUUACCAAGGCUUUGACGGGUAGCCGGCCUGAGAGGGUGACCGGCCACAUUGGGACUGAGAUACGGCCCAGACUCCUACGGGAGGCAGCAGUGGGGAAUAUUGCACAAUGGGCGGAAGCCUGAUGCAGCAACGCCGCGUGCGGGAUGACGGCCUUCGGGUUGUAAACCGCUUUCGCCUGUGACGAAGCGUGAGUGACGGUAAUGGGUAAAGAAGCACCGGCUAACUACGUG